rnacentral:rRNA from 1 species
AUGUUGGGUAGGGGGAUUAAUUUGAACAGGGGAGAUGUGGCUAGACUCUGGCAUGAUAGCCUGGAGGGUAGAAUUCCUUUUAGAGACAGAUUCCCACUAUUAUUUGAGAUUUGUAUUGAACAAAACUGCACUGUUGAAAAAAUUGAAUGCCUUGAUUAGAUCUCCUCUUUUAGGAGGAGGAUGUCUCCUGAGAUGAUGAAACAAUGGGAGUAAAUGAAAAAAGAGGUGGUAACUCUGAAGCAAAGCGAUUUGCCGGAUGAGGUUUAUUGGAAACUGGACAGUUCGAGCAAAUUUACUACAAAAUCCAUGUACAAAUGGCUAGAAAGGGAGAUAGUUGGCUCUAACUUUAAAUGGAUUUGGGAUGCCAAACUGCCUCUUAAAAUAUAG